AACGCUAGCUACAGGCUUAACACAUGCAAGUCGAGGGGCAGCAUAAAAGUAGCAAUACUUUGGUGGCGACCGGCGCACGGGUGAGUAACGCGUAUGCAACCUACCUAUCAGAGGGGGAUAACCCGGCGAAAGUCGGACUAAUACCGCAUAAAACAGGGGCACCGCAUGGUGCUAUUUGUUAAAAAUUUAUUGCUGAUAGAUGGGCAUGCGUUCCAUUAGGUAGUUGGAGAGGUAACGGCUCACCAAGCCUACGAUGGAUAGGGGAACUGAGAGGUUGGUCCCCCACACUGGUACUGAGACACGGACCAGACUCCUACGGGAGGCAGCAGUGAGGAAUAUUGGUCAAUGGGCGAGAGCCUGAACCAGCCAAGUCGCGUGAAGGAAGAAGGAUCUAUGGUUCGUAAACUUCUUUUGCAGGGGAAUAAAGUGCAGGACGUGUCCUGUUUUGUAUGUACCCUGAGAAUAAGGAUCGGCUAACUCCGUGCCAGCAGCCGCGGUAAUACGGAGGAUCCGAGCGUUAUCCGGAUUUAUUGGGUUUAAAGGGUGCGUAGGUGGUUUAAUAAGUCAGCGGUGAAAGUUUGCAGCUUAACUGUAAAAAUGCCGUUGAAACUGUUAGACUUGAGUGUAAAUGAGGUAGGCGGAAUGCGUGGUGUAGCGGUGAAAUGCUUAGAUAUCACGAAGAACUCCGAUUG
rnacentral:rRNA from 1 species